rnacentral:rRNA from 1 species
ACACGGGGGGCGCAAGCGUUAUUCGGAAUUAUUGGGCGUAAAGGGCGCGUAGGCGGUCUUGUCGGUCAGAUGUGAAAGCCCAGGGCUCAACCCUGGACGUGCAUUUGAAACAGCAAGACUUGAGUACGGGAGAGGAAAGCGGAAUUCCUGGUGUAGAGGUGAAAUUCGUAGAUAUCAGGAGGAACACCGAUGGCGAAGGCAGCUUUCUGGACCGAUACUGACGCUGAGGCGCGAAGGCGUGGGUAGCGAACAGGAUUAGAAACCCCGGUAGUCC